CCUAGGUCCAAUAGGUUCACCACUGCAGGCCUAGGUUCAAUAGGUUCACCACUGCAGGCCUAGGUUCAAUAGGUUCACCACUGCAGGCCUAGGUCCAGUAGGUUCUCCACUGCAGACCUAGGUCCAAUAGGUUCUCCACUGCAGACCUAGGUUCAAUAGGUUCACCACUGAAGGUCUAGGUUAAAUAGGUUCACCACUGCAGGCCUAGGUCCAGUAGGUUCUCCACUGCACAAACAUGUCUAUAAUAGAUACAGUGCCUUGCGAAAGUAUUCGGCCCCCUUGAACUUUGCGACCUUUUGCCACAUUUCAGGCUUCAAACAUAAAGAUAUAAAACUGUAUUUUUUUGUGAAGAAUCAACAACAAGUGGGACACAAUCAUGAAGUGGAACAACAUUUAUUGGAUAUUUCAAACUUUUUUAACAAAUCAAAAACUGAAAAAUUGGGCGUGCAAAAUUAUUCAGCCCGUUUACAGAGCAAAAUGUGAUUGGGGUAACCACAGACAGUACAUAGAGAACAGGCUUGGCGCUGGUGAGAGUUGUGUGUAUUGUCCUAAUGAACUCACAGGCUUGGCUCUGGUGAGAGGUGUGUGUAUUGUCCUAAUGAACUCACAGGCUUGGCUCUGGUGAGAGGUGUGUGUAUUGUCCUAAUGAACUCACAGGCUUGGCUCUGGUGAGAGGUGUGUGUAUUGUCCUAAUGAACUCACAGGCUUGGCUCUGGUGAGAGGUGUGUGUAUUGUCCUAAUGAACUCACAGGCUUGGCGCUGGUGAGAGGUGUGUGUAUUGUCCUAAUGAACUCACAGGCUUGGCGCUGGUGAGAGGUGUGUGUAUUGUCCUAAUGAACUCACAGGCUUGGCGCUGGUGAAGGCCACUCCAGAGAAGGCGUAUCUAUCCACCACCAGAUUGAUGCCCUGCUCCAAC